UACGAAGGGGGCUAGCGUUGUUCGGAAUCACGGGGCGUAAAGCGCACAUGGGCGGAUUGUUAAGUCAGGGGUGAAAUCCCGAGGCUCAACCUCGGAACUGCCUUUGAUACUGGCGAUCUAGAGUCCGGGAGAGGUGAGUGGAACUGCGAGUGUAGAGGUGAAAUUCGUAGAUAUUCGCAAGAACACCAGUGGCGAAGGCGGCUCACUGGCCCGGAACUGACGCUGAGGUGCGAAAGCGUGGGGAGCAAACAGG
rnacentral:rRNA from 1 species